AAAUGCCACCAAGAUUUUGAAAGAUUUGGGCACAUUCUUUUUUCACCAAUUCCUCUCUCCUGGGUGUUCCCAAAUGCUUCCAAAUAUUUGGCUUCAGAGAAGAGGAGAAGAAAAACUGGAGUGCUGCACGUAAGCACUGCAGAAACCUAGAAGGAAACCUGGCUAGUAUACCAAACAAAGAUGUUCAAGCUUUUCUCACAGUAAAUUUAAAAAGUGCUGCUGGUGAUACUUGGAUUGGAUUAAGUGACAAGAAUUGGCAU